rnacentral:rRNA from 1 species
AACGAACGCUGGCGGCGUGCCUAACACAUGCAAGUCGUGCGAGAAAGUUCCUUCGGGAGCGAGUAAAGCGGCGCACGGGUGAGUAACACGUAGGUAACCUGCCCCCCAGUCUGGAACAACUAGAGGAAACUCUAGCUAAUGCCGGAUGAGACCACGAUCCCUUCGGGGGUUGCGGCCAAAGAUGGCCUCUACUUGUAAGCUAUCGCUGAGGGAUGGGCCUGCGGGCCAUUAGCUUGUUGGUGAGGUAACGGCUCACCAAGGCUGUGAUGGCUAGCUGGUCUGAGAGGAUGACCAGCCACACUGGGACUGAGACACGGCCCAGACUCCUACGGGAGGCAGCAGUGGGGAAUAUUGCGCAAUGGGCGAAAGCCUGACGCAGCGACGCCGCGU